UACAGAGGUCUCAAGCGUUGUUCGGAAUCACUGGGCGUAAAGGGUGCGUAGGCCGCACGGUAAGUCAGAUGUGAAAGCCCGGAGCUCAACUCCGGAACUGCAUCCGAUACUGCCGUGCUUGAGGACUGGAGAGGAGUCUGGAAUUCACAGUGGAGCAGUGAAAUGCGUAGAUAUUGUGAGGAACACUAGUGGCGAAGGCGAAUCUCUGGACAGUUCCUGACGCUGAGGCACGAAGGCCAGGGGAGCAAACGGG
rnacentral:rRNA from 1 species